CGUCAACAACGACCUCGGCAACUGGCUCGGCAAGCUGGACUUCAAGACGGUGGGCCUCGUGGCUUUGGCGGCCUUGGUCGUCCUGUUCGUCCUUGACCUGUUCACCAAGAGCCCCACCCCCUUCGGCAGGAGUCUGAUGUCCUCCGCCGCUCACGCUUGGGACAGCGCUGGCCAGAUGGGGCUCAGCCAAUCCCUCCGUGGCAGCCGAUCGCUGGAACCCGUGGCGACUGUCCUGGACGCGCUGGCGGAGGCGGUGAAGAAGUGGGAGGCACCGGAGGACAGCGUCGUCAGACACCGAGCCUUCUGAGACGUUGAUUGCUGCUGAAAUGGGUCGUUUGAUCGUGGCCUUGUCUUUAACGUAAAUCUUGCAAUGUCAAGAAAGAAAGUACAAUAUCAUUACAUGCGUUUGCUUGCGGGCGAGCAAACUGUCUUCUUUCCGGCCAGUGUGGUUAGAUACCCAUGGUCAUCUUUAUGAUUUAUAUGUUUGUUUUUAUAACUUAUUCGUAACUGUUACUAUCAUGUUUGUCGUUAUAUCAUUCAUAAUUAUAUAUACAAUAUUUUGAGGCGUAAGUGCCUAGAUUAUGAAUGAACAACAACAGAAAUACAAAACUUAGAAUGAGAA
rnacentral:lncRNA from 1 species